GUAGGUGGCAAGCGUUGUCCGGAAUUAUUGGGCGUAAAGCGCGCGCAGGUGGUUCUUUAAGUCUGAUGUGAAAGCCCCCGGCUCAACCGGGGAGGGUCAUUGGAAACUGGGGAACUUGAGUGCAGGAGAGGAAAGUGGAAUUCCACGUGUAGCGGUGAAAUGCGUAGAUAUGUGGAGGAACACCAGUGGCGAAGGCGACUUUCUGGCCUGUAACUGACACUGAGGCGCGAAAGCGUGGGGAGCAAAUAGGGAUUAGAUACCCUGGUAGUCCAUGCCGUAAACGAUGAGUGCUAAGUGUUGGGGGGGUUUCCGCCCCCUCAGUGCUGCAGCUAACGCAUUAAGCACUCCGCCUGGGAGUACGGUCGCAAGACUG
rnacentral:rRNA from 1 species